GACGAACCGUGCGAACGUUAUUCGGAAUCACUGGGCUUAAAGGGCGUGUAGGCGGUCUGCCAAGUCAGGGGUGAAAUCCUUCGGCUCAACCGGAGAACUGCCCCUGAUACUGGCGGGCUCGAGGGAGAUAGAGGCAGCCGGAACUACCGGUGGAGCGGUGAAAUGCGUAGAUAUCGCUUGGAACGCCGAAGGUGAAAACAGGCUGCUGGGGUUGCGCAGACGCUGAGACACGAAAGCCAGGGGAGCAAACGGG
rnacentral:rRNA from 1 species